rnacentral:rRNA from 1 species
UGGGGAAUAUUGCACAAUGGGCGCAAGCCUGAUGCAGCGACGCCGCGUGGGGGAUGACGGCCUUCGGGUUGUAAACUCCUUUCGCUAGGGACGAAGCUUUUUGUGACGGUACCUAGAUAAGAAGCACCGGCUAACUACGUGCCAGCAGCAGCGGUAAUACGUAGGGUGCGAGCGUUGUCCGGAAUUACUGGGCGUAAAGGGCUCGUAGGUGGUUUGUCGCGUCGUCUGUGAAAUUCCGGGGCUUAACUCCGGGCGUGCAGGCGAUACGGGCAUAACUUGAGUACUGUAGGGGUAACUGGAAUUCCUGGUGUAGCGGUGAAAUGCGCAGAUAUCAGGAGGAACACCGAUGGCGAAGGCAGGUUACUGGGCAGUUACUGACGCUGAGGAGCGAAAGCAUGGGUAGCGAACAGG